rnacentral:tRNA from 1 species
GUUUGGGUAGCUCAGUUGGUUAGAGCAAAGGACUGAAAAUCCUUGUGACGGCAGUUCGACUCUGUCUCUAAACA